rnacentral:rRNA from 1 species
GGCGGCGUGCCUAAUACAUGCAAGUAGAACGCACAGUUUAUACCGUAGCUUGCUACACCAUAGACUGUGAGUUGCGAACGGGUGAGUAACGCGUAGGUAACCUGCCUGGUAGCGGGGGAUAACUAUUGGAAACGAUAGCUAAUACCGCAUAAUAUUAAUUAUUGCAUGAUAAUUAAUUGAAAGGUGCAAUUGCACCACUACCAGAUGGACCUGCGUUGUAUUAGCUAGUAGGUGAGGUAACGGCUCACCUAGGCGACGAUACAUAGCCGACCUGAGAGGGUGAUCGGCCACACUGGGACUGAGACACGGCCCAGACUCCUACGGGAGGCAGCAGUAGGGAAUCUUCGGCAAUGGACGAAAGUCUGACCGAGCAACGCCGCGUGAGUGAAGAAGGUUUUCGGAUCGUAAAACUCUGUUGUUAGAGAAGAACAAGUGCUAGAGUAACUGUAAGCGCCCUGGACGG